rnacentral:rRNA from 1 species
UACGUAGGGUGCGAGCGUUAAUCGGAAUUACUGGGCGUAAAGCGUGCGCAGGCGGUUUGAUAAGUCAGAUGUGAAAGCCCCGGGCUCAACCUGGGAACUGCGUUUGAAACUGUCAGGCUAGAGUGUGUCAGAGGGAGGUAGAAUUCCACGUGUAGCAGUGAAAUGCGUAGAGAUGUGGAGGAAUACCGAUGGCGAAGGCAGCCGUCCUGGGAGUAACACUGAACGCUCAUGCACGAAAGCGUGGGAGCAAACAGG